rnacentral:miRNA from 1 species
UGAUGAUGAUGAUGAUGAUGAUGAUGAUGAUGGCGAUGAUUAUGAUGGUGGUGGCGACUCUCCCAUAUUCACAUUCUUCCUCUCACCAACAUCAUCACCACCCCUC